AUCCCUUUUACCUCCCUGUUGGACUUCGCCGGGCCUUGUGCCCGGCUUUUUUC
rnacentral:ncRNA from 1 species